UGAGAGUUGGUUAGUCAGUACGAGCGCACCCUUAUCCUUAUUUGCCAGCGCAUAAUGGCGGGAACUAUAAGGAGACUGCCGGUCAUAAACCGGAGGAAGGCGGGGACGACGUCAAGUCAUCAUGGCCCUUAUGGGUAGGGCUACACACGUGAUACAAUGGGUGGUACAGAGGGUCGCCAAAGCGCGAGCUGGAGCCAAACCCUUAAAACCAUUCUUAGUCCGGAUUGGAGUCUGCAACUCGACUCCAUGAAGUUGGAAUCGCUAGUAAUCGCGAAUCAGAAUGUCGCGGUGAAUACGUUCUCGGGCCUUGUACACACCGCCCGUCACGUCAUGGAAGUGGGUUGCACCAGAAGUGGCUUGUUUAACCUUCGGGAAAACGGUCACCACGGUGUGAUUCACAACUGGGACGAAGUCGUAACAAGGUAGCCCUAGGGGAACCUGGGGCUGGAUCACCUCCUU
rnacentral:rRNA from 1 species